UUACAUCGAUAGUUUCGAUUA
rnacentral:snRNA from 1 species